rnacentral:lncRNA from 1 species
UUAUGAACUACUAGCUUUGUUGCUUUCAUGUAAAUGAAGAUCUUCCUGAUAAUCCCCAAAUUUAAUUGAUCCGGUAUCUUACUUUCUAUAGAUAUUGGGAUUUCCAAAUUUGGGAGUCUAUCUGGUCACAAUCUAGAUCUUAUUUGACUUUUAUAAAGAGGCUUCAGAAACAAAACCAUACCCAUUACAGCUGGAUCUUUAAGGUAGUUUAAGGAUCUGCUUGACUUUUUUUUUUCUUGCUAUUCCAGAAUCAGGUGGACAACAGCACAUUCAACACCGCAGAACAAACAUUUCAUGGUCCUGGCAGGAGAGUCAGUUUUUCUACGGGUCUGCAGGAUCCAGACACUGGAGCCCAGUCCAAAGCAACAAUGAUCUCGAUAAUCUCAAUAACAGAGGUAAAGGGUGACCAUCUAUCUACCCUCAUGAAGAAUCUAAGAAGUUCAACAAUG